AGUGAACGCUGGCGGUAGGCCUAACACAUGCAAGUCGAACGGCAGCACAGUAAGAGCUUGCUCUUACGGGUGGCGAGUGGCGGACGGGUGAGGAAUACAUCGGAAUCUACUUUUUCGUGGGGGAUAACGUAGGGAAACUUACGCUAAUACCGCAUACGACCUACGGGUGAAAGCAGGGGAUCUUCGGACCUUGCGCGAUUGAAUGAGCCGAUGUCGGAUUAGCUAGUUGGCGGGGUAAAGGCCCACCAAGGCGACGAUCCGUAGCUGGUCUGAGAGGAUGGAGCGGCCACCCGGAAACUGGGACCGGUCCACACCUCCACGGGGGGCAGCCGGGGGGAAUUUUUGGAAAUGGGGGCAAACCUGACCCCGGCCAGCCCGGUGGGGGAAAAAAGGCUUUGGGUUUGAAAACCCUUUUUUUUGGGAAAAAAAAGCAGCGGGUUAAAUCCCCGCUUUUUUGACGGCCCCAAAAAAAAAAGCACCGCUAACCUUCUU
rnacentral:rRNA from 1 species